UGCAAUAUAGCUCAGUGGAAGAGCGGUGGGCUCAUAACCCAUUGGUCCCUAGAUCAAAACUAGGUAUUGCAA
rnacentral:tRNA from 1 species